rnacentral:rRNA from 1 species
GAUGAACGCUGGCGGCGUGCCUAAUACAUGCAAGUCGAACGCAUAGCGAAAGGUGCUUGCACCUUUCAAGUGAGUGGCGAACGGGUGAGUAACACGUGGACAACCUGCCUCAAGGCUGGGGAUAACAUUUGGAAACAGAUGCUAAUACCGAAUAAAACUUAGUGUCGCAUGACACAAAGUUAAAAGGCGCUUCGGCGUCACCUAGAGAUGGAUCCGCGGUGCAUUAGUUAGUUGGUGGGGUAAAGGCCUACCAAGACAAUGAUGCAUAGCCGAGUUGAGAGACUGAUCGGCCACAUUGGGACUGAGACACGGCCCAAACUCCUACGGGAGGCUGCAGUAGGGAAUCUUCCACAAUGGGCGAAAGCCUGAUGGGGCAACGCCGCGUGUGUGAUGAAGGCUUUCGGGUCGUAAAGCACUGUUGUAUGGGAAGAACAGCUAGAAUAGGAAAUGAUUUUAGUUUGACGGUACCAUACCAGAAAGGGACGGCUAAAUACGUG